UCGAUGAGUCAGGUGUGUUUUCUUCUGUCCUGAUGUGAGAGUUAUAGUGAUGUGUCGUUCUUGAACGAUUCGUUCAUUUUGAACAAAUCUUUAAUGUGACUCUGGAAGAACGAGUCGUCUCGGGGAGUGAUUCGUUCAGUCGCGCAUGCGCAUUAUUCAAUAGGUUCUGUUAAUGGUAUAAACGUAUAAACGGAGGUCGGAGCCAGCUCCAAAUGGGUGGGACUUCAGCUCCAAGUGGGCUGUACAAACCUCCAGAGUCUUUUGAUUGGUUUAUUUAAUGUCAUGGGGUUAAUACACGCUGCGAAUCCCCACCCACCAAAAAAAAAAAAAAAAAAAAAAAGACGACGUCAACUUCCCAAGGCUUUUCAGCGUCAAGAAAGAGGAAUUUGAAGGGAAAGUUCAAGUCUGGGUGGCCAAAAGUUAUAUUUCAGUGACCUGGUUAUCGCCUAUCUCUGCAAACUCAAAGGAUCACUUUCCUGAUUUUUUUGUUCUUUCUAUGCAUCAAGCAGUGGAUCUACCCCAAUCAUCAUUAACGGGACCACAGUGGAGAGAGUGAGCAUCUUCAAAUACCUUCAAAUGCCCUGCAAAGAGUAGCUGAGCGCAUCUCCAGAACAUCUCUCCCCUCUCUGCAAGACAUCCACACCAGAAGAUGUAAAUCUAGGGCUGUUAAGAUCCUUAAAGACCCCACCAACCCAUCUGCUACAGUCAGGCAGACGCUUCUGCAGUCUGAUGGCAAAGAUGGAGAGGCUCAGGAGGAGUUUCUUCCCUCAUGUUAUCAGAUUACUAAACAUGGACAUUAAACACACUGCACUUUAUAGACUGGUUGUUUAGGGCUACCCAAUAACUCUCUGCACACUGCACUUUUUUGACAACCUAACUAGGCAACUCAUCCUCACUGCACAUUGUUUACAUCUCUGCACAUCAUCUGUGUAGCAGUUUCUGUGUAGCAUCUCUACAAAUCAUCUGUGUAGUAGUUUAAAGGCAGGGUAGGUAAGAAAUUUAUAAACCACUUUCUUCCAAAUUUGUUUAAACUUUCUAUAUAUCUCAAUGCAUAAUUAAAAUGUAAGUACUCUGAUAAAAAAAGAGUAUAAAAAUCGAGUGACUCUAGACUGUUUAAUCUGUAUUAAACACAGCUCAUUAUUUCCAUUUGGGACGAAACAUAGGAUUGGCUUGGGCGACUGUCACUCUCUCGCAUCCAUGGCAACCACCCUUUUGCCACACAUGACCUGCCCACUUGCGUACGCACGUUUGAUUUGAGGAAUUCAAGAGGCACGGAUCCUAGGAAUACCAAAACAAUGGCAGAGAAACAGCAAGCAAAAUUCACUGUACCAGCCUAUGCAGUUAGUGAAGGCAAACCAGGCAAAAAAAAGAAGACAGUAACAGUACAAGAAAAGGCAAUGAACAAAAAGUAUUUGUAUAAACAAAGAAAUAAAACGCGAGUUAAUAUCGGCGUGGCUUUCCAGCAAUGGCGAGAACUGAGGGAACUCAAGUGCUCCUUGCCCUGCACUUCGACCACCCCGUCCUCGGCCUCUACUUCCUCGGACCCUAGUUGCACGGCUUCUUGCACGACCUCCUCUGCUUCGCCCUCGACCCCGGACCUGUCCUCGAGCUGACGAUGCGGUACUUGUCUCUGGAGUGUAGUCCUCAUCAGAGUCAACAAUGUUUUCAUCAUGGAAACUCUUACAUGCAGAACAACGUUAUGACUCUUACACGAAAUUCAUCUUCAUCACAGUGUAAAUGAUGGUAAUGGAAAAACGUGUAUCAUGCAACCUGUUUUUAGCUUGGCCUUAUAGACAACUAGCUCGUUAGCGAAUCAAAAAAUAUAUAUUUUAAACUUUACCAAGAUCAAUAUGCUAGCUUGAUAGUUAGUACUAAAAUACAUCUUGUUUGUUUAUCUUCAUAAUUAUAAAGUUAUUUUUAUUGCAUGUGAUUCUGACAUGAUUUCACUACAUGCACUCUGCUCCUUCCUCUCCGCUCGUCUCAGGUAAAUAAUGCGUCUUCCAGCUCAGUGGUCGGAGUCGCGCAUUCAUGUGUUUUGGGGCGUGGCUUUGGAAGGAGCCCAGAAGGGAGGGGGUGGUGUGAAUGGAAAUAAUGAGCUGUCUUUAAAACAGUCGUGAGAGGUCUACAGACACUCGAUUUGUAUACUUUCUUUUUCAGAGUACAUACAUUUUAAUUAUGUAUUGAUAUAUAAAUAAAGUUUAAACAAAUAUGGAAAAAAAGUUUUUUUAUACAUUUUUACCUACCCUGCCUUUAAUAGUUUAAUAUUGGGUAUAUUUCAUUAUUUGUAUUUAAUUAUCUCCCCACAAAAAAACUUUUUAUUUUUUUCCUGUUGUUUCAUUAUUUGUAUUUUAAUUUUCUCUUAUUUUUUGCACAGUCUAAAGAGUAUGCCAGACCUACAUUUCACUGCUUUUUGCAUGUCAUAUAACAAAUAAAACUGGAAUUUGUAAUGGUG